rnacentral:lncRNA from 1 species
AGCAUGGAUGAAAGAAAUAAGUAUAACAGAUAACAGAUGAACCAGACAGAUGAAAAAAUGCACAAAAAGGGUUCACUGAAAUGAUUAAAUCAAGAAAUGAGGUAAGGAUCAAAUAAAAUCAAGAUAAAAAGCCUCUAAUACAUGGCCUAUGAGAUGAACAAGGGAGGAUCAAAAGAUCUCUUCAAUUGCCAUAAGCAAUCCCU